AUGGAGUUAGCCGUGGGCGCCUCGGAAGCCACCAUCAAGUCCCUCCUGAUAAAACUAGGCGGCCUUCUAGCGGAGGAGUACGCCCUGAUUCGCGGCGUCCGCGGCGACAUCCAGUUCAUCAACGACGAGCUCGCCAGCAUGCAGGCCUUCCUCAGCAACCUGAGUCGCAGCGGCACCGACGGCCACGACGAUCAGACGGAGGACUGGAUGAAGCAGGUCCGCGACGUCUCCUACGACAUCGAGGACUGCGUCGACGACUUCGCCCACGGCCUCCGCCCCGACCCACGCGGCGGCGGCCUGUGGUCCAUGAUCCGCAGGACUCUGUACGAGAUCCAGACGUAUUUCCCCCGCCGCAACAUCGCCGCCCAGAUCGUCCAUCUCAAGCAACGGGCCCAGCAUGUCGGCGAGCGGCGAGGCAGGUAUGGCGUCCCAGAUCCAAUUCCCGGCAGGAAGAAGAGUAGCUCUGGUGGCGCCACCGGAUACCUCGCCGCCGAGCACCAGGAGACAACCCGCCGGCUCGUCGGCAUCAAGGAGCCCGUGGGGGUGGAAGAGGAUAUGGAGGACCUUAAGAAAUGGAUCCUCUCUGACGAGAACAAGCAGCAGCUCGGAGUGCUGUCCAUCGUUGGAUUCGGUGGGGUGGGGAAAACCACCAUUGCUAUGGCGCUCUACCGAAAAUACGGGGAUCAGUUUCAGCGUCGAGCCAUGGUCACCGUGUCACAGAACUCAGAUUCUGAGGCAGUGCUCAGGGAUAUACUGAGUCAAGUCAAGCCCCAGGACAGCAGUGAGGAGCAGCGUGGUCAGCAUAGUGCAGGUGCCGUCUCGGAGAAGACAAAUCAGGCAGCACUUUUCAGAAGAACAUUGAGCUGA
rnacentral:rRNA from 1 species